GGCUGCUCUCCUUCCUCUGUUUGGCUCUAAACCUGCACUGUCCGAUGUACUCCUGCGUCUGUGUUCGGAGGCCGGUGUGGUGGACGGGACUGAGGUGCAGGACGGAAGCUCACAGAGAGACUGAAGGACGUGAGACGGACAAUUUUGCUGUUCCCUCCAGUCCAGGGCCCAGGGAACAGGAAGCGGACUCACACUCGUCCCCGUCCUGAUCGCUGUCUUCACUGUAACACUCUGCACACAGACAGACAAACAGGUGAACAGAGGAACAGGAAAGAAGGAGUGAAAGAAAAACAACAAAGCCUGGAAGAGGAAAUACUGGAGGAAGUUCACACUGCGCAGCCGCCUCGGACAGUCUGCUGAGCCACCUGUGAACAUGCAAGCUGCCUUUAAUGGAGCAGAAACAUUCGACAUGAUGGACGGCAGUGAUGCAUCGCAGCACAGAACGAGACGUGGAGGGAAAAUGAGAG